rnacentral:rRNA from 1 species
UCGCUAGUAAUCGCAGGUCAGCAUACUGCGGUGAAUACGUUCCCGGGUCUUGUACACACCGCCCGUCACACCAUGGGAGCCGGAAAUGCCCGAAGCCAGUGACCCAACCUUAGGGAGGGAGCUGUCGAAGGUGGAGCCGGUAACUGGGGUGAAGUCGUAACAAGGUAGC